CAGACAUCUCUCGUUGAGCUCACCAUGGGGUUGCGUUCUGUAAGAUCCACUCUGUCUUCCUAAAUCUGCCACAAUAGCAAUUUGCUUCUGCACCCCAACUGCAAUUGAUCUAUUAUAGGAUUGUCUGACCUUGUUAUUGGACUUGGUGUUUCAGCACAAAUGUGUUUUUGUAUUUGUUUUAGAGGAUCAGAGUAAAAUGCCUAAUUGUCAACUGUCUUUGAGGAGAAAUAAUGUAGCGUGAAAAUGUUCUGUAAUGUCAACAAAGUUUCUGCACCAAAUAUUGGAAUCAGUGGUGCGUUCGAAGACAGUCGCAGGUUAUGUCAGCUUGUGUGCUGUGUCUUUAUUUUCAGGAAGUCAGCCUUUUCUCUGCCUGAACAGUGAGCUGCAUCUGAACGCUUCCCCUUCUGCACCACUGACCCUGAUGAAAGCAACAUUCCCUCCCCGCCAGCGCUGCAAUUUCCCCCAUACAACACACAGACCUGCAAGUGGUGAGGAAUGAAGUUUUGCUCUGCUCCCUGCCCUGUCCCCAGCUCUCAGCGAGGAAACCCACUCCUCUUUUCCCAGCUGCCUCAGUCUGGUGUGAGUUUCAGAGGGGUGAUGGUUGCAGUGUGUGAGUCUGAAGGGUGAGGGGGUGAUCGCCUGGAUCAUCAGUACAGACACAUGCACACGCUCUGUGACAUCCAGGAGGGGUGUUGCCGAGAAACUCCAACCAAUCGAUGUCCCAGCAUGCUUUGCUCUCCACACCCUCGCAGCAUGUCUGAAAUCACAGCCCCCCUGCACUGUUCCAACCUGACAAAUGACAUAAUGUGCAGAAUCAAGCACCGGCCUUCGGAUGAAAAGAAACAUGUCUGCCACUGUCCCCAUCGGAAUGGAGAGGAGGUGAAGCAUCCAGGAGAGUCCUGCUCCCUUCUACCUGCUCAUACUGCUCCAGCGCCUGGUCAGUUAUCGGCCACAUCCAGCCUGGUUGCACGGCCACCGCAGCUGCUGCAGGC
ensembl:lncRNA